rnacentral:rRNA from 1 species
AUGGGGCGGAGCUCGGGGGGAGAGGGAGGAGGAGGAGGAGAGGGGCAAGGGGAGGUGGAUGGCGGCGGAAUCGCAGACUGCUCGCCGGGGACCAUCGUCUGGGUGCGGCGGCGGAACGGGUCCUGGUGGCCCGGGAGGAUAGUCGGUCAGGACGAGCUCGCGGCGUCGCAGGUGGUGACGCCCAGGACGGGAACUCCGGUCAAGCUACUCGGCCGCGAGGAUGCUAGCAUUGACUGGUAUAACCUGGAGAAAUCAAAACGUGUCAAGGAAUUUAGGUGUGGAGAGUUUGAUGCUUGUAUUGAGAAGGCAAUGGCUUGUCAAGGAACUCCUGUAAAGAGAAGAGAAAAGUAUGCUCGUAGAGAAGAUGCUAUUCUUCAUGCUCUUGAAUUGGAAAGAAAGCAGCUUGCAUUGAAGUACCAGAACCAAGGUUUCAGGGCAGAUGACAGCUGCAGUAUCCUCUUUGCUGACACAGGGAGGGAGUUUGACGACUUUCCUUCAGAAUAUUACUCAAGAAACAACGUCCAGGAACCUCAGUUGCAUUUGCAAAGCUCAGCAUCUCAGCAACGCGUAGAUCUCAGCACUACUCGUUAUAAAAGCAAAAAGAGUAAAAAACAGAAAGAGGAUAACUCUGUUCGCCUUGGUAAAACAAAAGAGUGUGAAGAAAAGUUUAUUCAUGCUGGUUCAAAAAGAAACUUGUCAGGAUCUCUUGCUCUGGAAGCUUCAGGGAACACUCUCAGUAAUUACGUCAAUGGCUUUUCCCUUUCAGGACAUAUGCAAGAAGGAUCAAAUGUAGAGAGCAGUGAGAAAAAUACAGCCCUGAAAAAGAGAAGAUUAGAAGAAGCUAUUUUUGAGGCAUCUGUUGUCAAAAAACAUGAUAGAUGCAGGCCACUUGCUCAAGUUGUACAGAGUAGCGUCAAAUUUCCUCGCUCUUUUCAGUGCAAUGAUGAUUCUGGAACUGUUGUAGUUGAAGGAGGGAAAGAUCCUUUGCCUGCUAUCUGUCAGGUGAAAAGAAGUGGUGCCACAUACCUGUCUGCUGAUUCUGGUGAUGCACAUAGCCGUGACUUCAUACCUGUUAAGCAAACAAUAUUAACAGAAGCUCAUCGUGAGACAGAAAGUUACCUGAAGCAGGAGGAUACUCUUCUCAAAGAGCAAAAAUUUCCGGACUUUGUUGAGAAGCAAGAAUCUGAUUCUUCAAUGAGUUUAUGUUCAGAUACUGAGACAGAAGAUGACGCUGAACUUCUGCAAAGGUAUGCUAAGGUACAAUCCCCUGAAUCAGAUGCAUGUGAUCCUAAUUCCCUCCAGGUUUCUAAUAAGUCAAGGCAUGCAAAUGAUAUUGACGACGAUGAUGAGAUGAACUUUUCUACUCAUAUUCCUCAGCAAAAUGUCUUACUAGGUGAGGAUGGUUCUCCUGAGUUAGGUGUUUCCCAGUGGCAUAUGAAAGGUAAACGCAACCGGCGCACUGCAGUAAAGAGACCAAUAGGGAAGACGGAUGAAAAUCUGUCAUUAGAUAGCUCAAGUAGUUUCAUGAAGGGGCUGCUCAAAAUGGCCAAUAAAGGUGACUCUAAAGUUGAGAUUAUUGAUGCGUCUAGCCAUCAGCCGUUUGGUCAAAGUUUUCCUGAGAACCAAGAAGGGUUGGAUUGUGAUCAUGAUGAAGCAGAUUUGGUUGACAAGGCCGUGAGUCAUUCAGGAGUUAACAGAUACCAUGGUAAAGAUUAUCCCUUAUCUUCAGAACCUAUCAGAGAUAUUGGACGAAGUUACACUUCUUUCAACAACUCUGAAAUUUCUUGCAAGACCACUUUGCUAAGUAAAAAUGGCAAUCAGAUAACCUCUAUUGGUCAGAAGGCAUGUGGGGACGGAUCUUCAUUGUAUCAACAAAAUCAUGGCUCACAUCUUGGUUACAUUGGGCCGGUGUUGUUUAAUGUUGACCUGAAGGUACAGGCUAACUAUCAAGGUGAGCACGUCCCAUUGGUUUCUUUGAUGAGCAGACUGGAUGGCAAAGCUAUUGUUGGACACCCUAUCCAAGUUGGAAUUCUUGAAGAAGGUUCAAUGGACAGGCUUAUUUUGGGCAGGGAUCUUGUUCUGGAAAAUAGCACAGCAGCACCAUCUGCUUGGCCAACAGGCAGAAGGACUGUUAUGCCAAGAGUCCCACGUUUGAAUCCAUCACGAGCAACCUUAGAUGGCAAUGCCACCGAUGAGCAGGGGGUCAAGCAUGCAAAGAAAAGCACCACCAGUGUCCGGAGGCCAUUUUCGCAGAAAUCUCAAAAGAAGCCCUCUGGCUUCAAGAAAGCAAGCUCACCAAGCAAGAAAACCAGACCCCUUUCAUCCAUUUCCAUUGGGAAAAAGUCUCACAGAGAAGGUGGCCAGGCAAAGGCACAUAGGCGCAGCGAUGUUCUGGGUGGUCUAUUGAAAUCAGAUGGAGCAAUUCCGCUGGUCACAUGUGUCCCCGCAAAGGUUGUGUUCAGUAGGAUAAUCGAAGCAGUUGGCAGGCCAUCCCAUGCUCUUGCUCACCGUGCUAGAAAGGCCAGUCCCGCGGUACGGGAUCCACCGUAG